GCUGGGUGUAGCAGUGCACGCCUGUAAUCCCAGUGGCUUGGGAGGCUGAGGCAGGAGAAUUGAGAGUUCAAAGCCAGCCUCAGCAAAAGCAAGACACUAAGCAACUCAGUGAGACCCUGUCUCUA
rnacentral:sRNA from 1 species